rnacentral:rRNA from 1 species
UACGUAGGGGGCAAGCGUUGUUCGGAAUUACUGGGCGUAAAGCGCGUGUAGGUGGUCUGGCAAGUCAGAUGUGAAAGCCCCGGGCUCAACUUGGGAACUGCAUUUGAUACUGCCAAGCUAGAGUACAGAAGAGGUGACUGGAAUUCCCAGUGUAGCGGUGAAAUGCGUAGAUAUUGGGAGGAACACCAGAUGCGAAGGCGGGUCACUGGGCUGAUACUGACGCUAAAGCGCGAAAGCCAGGGGAGCGAACGGG